UGAGUAACACGUAUCCAACCUGCCGUCUACUCUUGGCCAGCCUUCUGAAAGGAAGAUUAAUCCAGGAUGGCAUCAUGAGUUCACAUGUCCGCAUGAUUAAAGGUAUUUUCCGGUAGACGAUGGGGAUGCGUUCCAUUAGAUAGUAGGCGGGGUAACGGCCCACCUAGUCAACGAUGGAUAGGGGUUCUGAGAGGAAGGUCCCCCACAUUGGAACUGAGCACGGUCCAA
rnacentral:rRNA from 1 species